AUUGAACGCUGGCGGCAGGCCUAACACAUGCCAGUCGAACGGUAACAGGAAGAAGCUUGCUUCUUUGCGGACGAGUGGCGGACGGGUGAGUAAUGUCUGGGAAACUGCCUGAUGGAGGGGGAUAACUACUGGAAACGGUAGCUAAUACCGCAUAACGUCGCAAGACCAAAGAGGGGGACCUCUGGGCCUCUUGCCAUCGGAUGUGCCCAGAUGGGAUUAGCUAGUAGGUGGGGUAACGGCUCACCUAGGCGACGAUCCCUAGCUGGUCUGAGAGGAUGACCAGCCACACUGGAACUGAGACACGGUCCAGACUCCUACGGGAGGCAGCAGUGGGGAAUAUUGCACAAUGGGCGCAAGCCUGAUGCAGCCAUGCCGCGUGUAUGAAGAAGGCCUUCGGGUUGUAAAGUACUUUCAGCGGGGAGGAAGGGAAGAAAGUUAAUACCUUUCCGCAUUGACGUUACCCGCAGAAGAAGCACCGGCUAACUCCGUG
rnacentral:rRNA from 1 species